UACGGAGGGUGCAAGCGUUAUCCGGAUUCACUGGGUUUAAAGGGUGCGUAGGUGGGUUGGUAAGUCAGUGGUGAAAUCCCCGAGCUUAACUUGGGAACUGCCAUUGAUACUAUCAGUCUUGAAUACCGUGGAGGUCGGCGGAAUAUGUCAUGUAGCGGUGAAAUGCUUAGAUAUGACAUAGAACACCAAUUGCGAAGGCAGCUGGCUACGCGGAUAUUGACACUGAGGCACGAAAGCGUGGGGAUCAAACAGG
rnacentral:rRNA from 1 species